rnacentral:rRNA from 1 species
CAGUAGCCGCGGUAAUACGUAGGUGGCAAGCGUUAUCCGGAAUUAUUGGGCGUAAAGCGCGCGUAGGCGGUUUUUUAAGUCUGAUGUGAAAGCCCACGGCUCAACCGUGGAGAGUCAUUGGAAACUGGAAAACUUGAGUGCAGAAGAGGAAAGUGGAAUUCCAUGUGUAGCGGUGAAAUGCGCAGAGAUAUGGAGGAACACCAGUGGCGAAGGCGACUUUCUGGUCUGUAACUGACGCUGAUGUGCGAAAGCGUGGGGAUCAAACAGGAUUAGAUACCCCAGUAGUCCCUGUCUCUUAUAC